AGUGAACGCUGGCGGUAGGCCUAACACAUGCAAGUCGAACGGCAGCACAGUAAGAGCUUGCUCUUACGGGUGGCGAGUGGCGGACGGGUGAGGAAUACAUCGGCAUCUACUUUUUCGUGGGGGAUAACGUAGGGAAACUUACGCUAAUACCGCAUACGACCUACGGGUGAAAGCAGGGGAUCUUCGGACCUUUCGCGAUUGAAUGAGCCGAUGUCGGAUUAGCUAGUUGGCGGGGUAAAGGCCCACCAAGGCGACGAUCCGUAGCUGGUCUGAGAGGGUGAUCAGCCACACUGGAACUGAGACACGGUCCAGACUCCUACGGGAGGCAGCAGUGGGGAAUAUUGGACAAUGGGCGAAAGCCUGAUCCAGCCAUACCGCGUGGGUGAAGAAGGCCUUCGGGUUGUAAAGCCCUUUUGUUGGGAAAGAAAAGCAGCAGGUUAAUACCCCGCUGUUCUGACGGUACCCAAAGAAUAAGCACCGGCUAACUUCGUG
rnacentral:rRNA from 1 species